UACGGAGGGGGCUAGCGUUGUUCGGAAUUACUGGGCGUAAAGCGCACGUAGGCGGACUGUUAAGUCGGGGGUGAAAUCCUGGGGCUCAACCUCAGAAUUGCCUCCGAUACUGGCAGUCUCGAGUGCGGGAGAGGUGAGUGGAAUUCCCAGUGUAGAGGUGAAAUUCGUAGAUAUCAGGAGGAACACCAAUGGCGAAGGCAGCUGCUGG
rnacentral:rRNA from 1 species